UUACGGCCAUAUCACGUUGAAACAUCGGUUCUCAUAUGACCAUCGAAGUUAAGCAACGUCGAGCCUGGUCAGUAUGUAGAUGGGUAACCGCUUGAAAAUACCAGG